AUUCUCAACCUCUCUCCCAGCUGCUGUUACACAGUACUUUUUCCAUUUCCUAAAUAUGCUUUCCCAGAGGAACCCAGCGUGCUCAUGGCUCAGCUCUAGCAACGGUGGGUCUCUUUUGGAGCAUCUGGAGCUGGCUGUGUACACAGAGACUACACCUGUAGUCCCCUGCAACCAAAACCUUGUUAUGAAAACUCAAUACAACGGGAAGUAAUUUUGUUUUUUUUCAAAUGCAUUUUGCAGUCAGAGAAUGCAGUACUGGCUAGCUAACCCUGAAGAAGUCUGUUUGUUUCUUUGCAUUUUCUUUGCCAUCAAAGUGAUACUGAAGCAGACUGGGUACCUGAGCUAACUCUCCAGUGCAAAUUUCUGUAGAGCCUCAAGCGAAUCCAAGAAUUCCCUGUGGUGGAAAGCCCAAACAACUGGUUGUCAUCUCUUUCAGUCAAACUCAGUGUUGAAUAAGGAGCUUCAGGGGCUCAAGGUAGAAAAUGAAAUUAUGUCAGUGAGGCUGAAUGCAGGGUUUAGGCUGAAAAAUGCCAGAGACUACAUAACAUUGCUCUUUUUGUGUUGAAAAAGUUGUUCAUCCUCACUAUUCCUAAAUUUACAUUCUCAUGAAAACUGCAGAAAAUACAUAAUUAAAUUUCUUUUGGAUACUUUUUUGACAGGGGAAUAGAAAGAAGGAAAAUUGCUUCCUUUGAAUUUUCAUCUUUGUACUUUUUCAGUCCUCGCCCUUUGGAUGCACUCAGAAGAAAUUUUGGAAAUAAACAAUUUCAGCAUGAUACUGUGACAAGAAUCAGGUGAGACAGUAAAUAAGCUGUCAGAAGAAGCCUUCUUCAUGUGGCAAAUAUUUUAUUUUAGUCAGACAUACAGUGCCUGCACAAGAAUGACAGAUGCCUUGAAAGAACUGUGUAGUAUGAGCAUGCAAAGGAAGACAGAGUAUAGCUCAUCAUGCUGCUUCUCCAUUUCAACUGCUUCAUAAAGUUAAUGCGACUACUCAGGAGAAUACAGGCUGCAGGAACAGGUUGCAAAAUGAAAAAGAUGACAUUUUUGUCACAGGGGAAUGGGGAAGGCAAAAUAUCCAUCAAUACUUGUAAUUGAACAAGUGGGGAAAAAGUAAGAAAGAAGAAAAUACACAAUUUCUAAAGAAGAAAGUUGACAUAUUAAAUAAUUUACUGACUUACUAAUUUAGUCCACAAAUUAUCCUAUCCCAGAAUGUAAGUUUUUUUAAUCAAUAGGCUAAUUUCAAAAAAAUAAUAAAAAAUUAAGUGAUCAAAUUUGUUAAAAUGUGGCUUGAAAUGUAUACAUUUUAUGUAAGUCUAAAACUGAAUUGUUCCUAUCCAUACCAUUUUCUCACUAGGCUUUCUGUAUUUUUGAAUCUUGCAGUAUAUUACAAAGCUUUCCUUUCUGCUCUCUCAUCAAAACCAAGAUAUACUUGCCACCUCUUCAUUUGGGAUGGAGGGAAAUAUUUCUUUAUCAGAUGGAAUGUUUUUCCUAAGCAGUAAGGUAGCAAUUAGUGCCUAAGUAUCCUGUGAGUUUAGCCAUAUGUCUUCCGUGCAAGCAUAUUAUUUAGUACAGUAAGACCAGUUAUUUAUGUGCUGCCAAAACUGUUAAAAAGAAAAAUGCAAACAAAAUAGCAUUGUCACUGAAUGUUUAAUAUUUUAUAAUGGUUUUGCAUAUUGCUAAAUUAGUUGCACACAUAUAGCUGAUCUCUGUUCAGGCCUCAGAAUACCUCUGUAAUAAAAAUAAGAAUGCUGCUCUUACAAAUGGCGUGUGUCUGUUCUCACUCCUUUCCCAACAUAUUUUUCUACAACAUAUGCACAAAAGAUUCCUCCCUUUAUUAUUUAUCAUUCUUAAGAGAUACUCUACUUUUACAAAAUUACACUGUUAGCAAUUACGCUAUAUUGUACUAUUAGUAAUAUUAUUGAAUCUCUGUAAUGAAAUAAAUGUAAUACUGCUAGAUGAGAGAUUCAUUUGGAAAUGAAAAAUCAGAUAUU
ensembl:lncRNA